rnacentral:misc_RNA from 1 species
AACUGUAACAAGCCUACGAAUAUAUCUUCUCCAUUUUCUCCAUUUCGAUUCUCAAAGCCGUUGCUUUGUCCUGUUGUACGGUUCCGCAGUUACAAUUGUACCUCAGCUACACUCGAGACCAAAACAAUCGAACCAUUGGUCAGUCCUAGAAAUCAUCCAUGGCCAGAAUGGGUUGCUUUCGUGGACCGUUUGAAAAGCAAAGGAUACAUUACAGAAAAAAGUACGAGCACGGGUGAAGACGGCGAUGGGAGUAUUUAUACGGAUAUGAAUUUGUUGAAAGAUGCAUGCCUUAACUUCUCUCGCGACCGUUCAGACAUUUUCAAAAAGUUGUCCACCCAAGAUAUGCAGAAAGUUGUGGAGAAGGGCUGUCCUAAUCUAUUCAGGAAGGUUGUUAACUCUGCGAAAAGGCUAAGGAUUCAUCUAAACCUCGACGAAGGAGAGGUAUGUGGUGCUUGCAAUUUCCGUGGAUCAUGUGAUAGGGCUUACUUGAUAUUAAAGGAGUCUGAGGGUGUCGCGCGUACAGUCGAUAUUGUGCGGGUCUUGCUUAUUUAUGCAUUUGAUUCUGCAGUUAUAUCUAGUGGAGCAAUGCCUCCUGGUAGUGAGCUUAUCGAGGUAUCUG